AGCGAAUGGAGUGUGAGUGUGCGGGGGAAUAAGUGUGCAUCUGAGGGUGCGUGCGUGGGGUGCGUGUGUAGGGGUGGUGGGGUGCGUGUGCAGCGUGCGGCCCUGCAGGGAUCUCGCCUACACGUUGAUCUUAUUCGAUCGGGCCGGGGGCGGCCGCCCGGCCCGAGAUGAGAAGACCCCUCCCGCGAAGCCUGCGGGCGCUGUGCGGGGCAGAAUUGAAGGCCGCAGCCGGCCCGCCCGGCGCUCAGAGGUGAUGAGUCGAUCAGAUAGACGAGGCUGCGGGGUGGGUCCGCGCUGGCCCGAGCCCCCGGCCCAUGAGUAUCGAGGCGAUUCUGAUCUGA